rnacentral:rRNA from 1 species
ACACUCCUGCGGGAGGCAGCAGUGGGGAAUUUUGGACAAUGGGCGAAAGCCUGAUCCAGCAAUGCCGCGUGAGUGAAGAAGGCCUUCGGGUUGUAAAGCUCUUUUGUCAGGGAAGAAACGGUGAAAGCUAAUAUCUUUUGCUCAUGACGGUACCUGAAGCAUAAGCCCCGGCUAACUACGUGCCAGCAGCCGCGGUAAUACGUAGGGUGCAAGCGUUAAUCGGAAUUACUGGGCGUAAAGCGUGCGCAGGCGGUUUUGUAAGUCUGAUGUGAAAUCCCCGGGCUCAACCUGGGAAUUGCAUUGGAGACUGCAAGGCUAGAAUCUGGCAGAGGGGGGUAGAAUUUCACGUGUAGCAGUGAAAUGCGUAGAUAUGUGGAGGAACACCGAUGGCGAAGGCAGCCCCCUGGGUCAAGAUUGACGCUCAUGCACGAAAGCGUGGGGAGCAAACAGGAUUAGAUACCCCGGUAGUCCCAU